rnacentral:rRNA from 1 species
UACGAAGGGGGCGAGCGUUGUUCGGAUUUACUGGGCGUAAAGGGCGCGCAGGCGGCUCAUUUUGUCAGGCGUGAAAGCCCCGGGCUUAACCUGGGACUGCGUUUGAUACGGAUGGGCUAGAGUUCGGGAGAGGAGAGUGGAAUUCCCAGUGUAGAGGUGAAAUUCGUAGAUAUUGGGAAGAACACCGGUGGCGAAGGCGGCUCUCUGGACCGGUACUGACGCUGAGGCGCGAAAGCGUGGGGAGCAAACAGG